UACGUAGGGUGCAAGCGUUGCUCGGAAUCACUGGGCGUAAAGCGUGAGUAGGUGGACAUUUGGUAAGUCAGGUGUGAAAGCCUUGGGCUUAACCCAAGAAGAGCAUUUGAUACUGCCGGUCUAGAGUUCGGGAGAGGGAAGCGGAAUUCCAGGUGUAGGGGUGAAAUCCGUAGAUAUCUGGAGGAACACCAGUGGCGAAAGCGGCUUCCUGGACCGAUACUGACACUGAGUCACGAAAGCGUGGG
rnacentral:rRNA from 1 species